rnacentral:rRNA from 1 species
AGAGUUUGAUCCUGGCUCAGAUUGAACGCUGGCGGCAUGCCUUACACAUGCAAGUCGAACGGUAACAGGUCUUCGGAUGCUGACGAGUGGCGAACGGGUGAGUGAUACAUCGGAACGUGCCCGAGAGUGGGGGAUAACGAAGCGAAAGCUUUGCUAAUACCGCAUACGAUCUCAGGAUGAAAGCAGGGGACCGCAAGGCCUUGCGCUCACGGAGCGGCCGAUGGCAGAUUAGGUAGUUGGUGGGAUAAAAGCUUACCAAGCCGACGAUCUGUAGCUGGUCUGAGAGGACGACCAGCCACACCGGGACUGAGACACGGCCCAGACUCCUACGGGAGGCAGCAGUGGGGAAUUUUGGACAAUGGGCGCAAGCCUGAUCCAGCCAUGCCGCGUGCAGGAUGAAGGCCUUCGGGUUGUAAACUGCUUUUGUACGGAACGAAAAGACUCUGGUUAAUACCUGGGGUCCAUGACGGUACCGUAAGAAUAAGCACCGGCUAGCUUCGUGCCAGCAGCCGCGGUAAUACGUAGGGUGCGAGCGUUAAUCGGAAUUACUGGGCGUAAAGCGUGCGCAGGCGGUUAUAUAAGACAGAUGUGAAAUCCCCGGGCUCAACCUGGGAACUGCAUUUGUGACUGUAUAGCUAGAGUACGGCAGAGGGGGAUGGAAUUCCGCGUGUAGCAGUGAAAUGCGUAGAUA